CUUUGUACUCAGUCUUGGAUAGCAAUGUGGGUCCUUUGGCUUAUAACAAUGGGGACUUACUUGGGUGAGUUACUUGAUUUUCCUCAGCCUUAGUUUUCUUACCUUUGUGAUGGGUGCAAUUUGUAAUAUAUAGCAUUAUUGAGAGAAUCAGAUGACACAUAAAGUUUACCUCCAAAAACCCUCCCCAAGAAACGUUAUUGCUUCUUUCCUGUCCCAUCUUAUCUUACCUGCCCAUUAGAAUCUGGGGAAUUUAAAUUAUGUGCAGAUGCCAGGGGGCCACCCCACCCCUCACUGGGAAUCGGUACUCUAAAAGCUCCUCGGGUGACUGUGUGAGACCCCCCAGCCCUGAGGCACUGCUGUUACUGUGCUCAGUGUUUCUCCUAUUCCGAUCCCACUGGACCUGACUCCUAAAGUCAAUCUGUCUUCCGUGUUCUAAUCUGACAAAUAGGGGAUGACUCAGGUUUUGUGUGCUGGAUUCCUCCCCUGUGUCCUGGAUAUUUGUUUUUGUUGGUGCCUUGACAGGAAUAGGGCCAUAUUCUCUUCUGGCUCUAAGGUGGGGGGAGAGGGUGGAUAAAGAUUUUCUGAAAUGCUGUGGCAGAGAUCACCGGCUGAGUAUGAGACAUUCUCUGGGAUGCUGGCUGAGCAUCAGAAGGGUCAGGAGUUUUACGUCUCUGGUCACACAUCCUUCCUGAGGGGCAGAUCAGUCAGUAUUCUCUGAGUACGUUGCAGAGCUCACCACUCCAUGUCUUCAUUGUUUUACACACAUCCCUCCUUCUGGAGCCUUUGUGGGUAGGGAGAGGAAGGCAAUCGUGACAAGGGCAGUGUUUUCCAAUCUGCAGGUUGUGAACCAUGAGGGUGUCACAGCAUCCAUUUUUUAAAAAUGAAAGGAAAUGGAUAUGACACAUCAGAGUGUACCACACAUCGUGAGGGUACAUACUGUUAGGUGAAAAUUUCAUUUCAGUUGUAUGUGAAUAUAUUCACAUGUUGGCAAAAUAUAUUUCUUAACAUGAAUUAAGGUAUAAAAUGCUGGAAGCCACUGCAGGGGUGGGUCUCUGUGGUCUUUGUCUCCUCAGGAUCUGUUCUUCCCUUUGCCUCCAUAAACAGAGCCUCAGUCAUCCUUCCAGCAAGGAAAGGAGACAUUGCCCGUGAUCGCACCUAGUCUGGGUGGGACCACCCAUCAAGGGAUUCCAUCAUUCCUUGGUCGGAAGAUGGUCGCCCGGCUCAGCAGGCCAUGAGACGAUUGUCCCAGGGAACUUGGAUGGAGAGAGGACACACACUGGGACUGAAACUAGUUGAACUCACUUCCUUCAAUGGGGAUGCCUGGAAGUUAACAUCCAUAUUUUUUCCUGGUAUCUAGAUUUUUGAACUGCCUCGAUUUUUUUUUUCUCCCUUCCAAGAUUUGGUCAUUCAGCCAUUGGGUUGGUUCUGUGAAGUACCUGCAGACCACUUUAUUUGGUACCCCUUAGACAGAUGGAGUAGCCACAGACUGGAACAUGGCUGGUGGUUGCGGCAGGAGGAAAGAGAUCUGAGAACACGUUUCACACCAGCAAUCAAAUUCUCCGCACACGGGCCAGAUUUUUAAUAUGGUCCUACUCACCACAGGCGGCAGGGCAGACAGUGAAGUUCUACCACGUGCCCAGAAGGCAGAGUGCUGGAAAUAUUUGGUUAACUCCAGCUGGGAAGGCUUUAAAGGAUGAGUAGGAAUCAGAGAUGUAAACUCAAGCUUGGAGAGGUCUGGCAACUUGGUUAGAGUCACAGAGCUGCAUUAAGUAUAUUUGCAAAAAUGCAAAUCAUGACUCUCAGGCAAAUGUUAAAUGAUCCUAUGUCAAAGAUUUUAUUUCACUGAUUAAUUAGUACAAGAACCAGUGAGAUGUUAAAACUUACACAGAGAGCUUUAGAGAAUUUAGGACUAUGCAGACGAUUUAACAAAGAAAUUGAAGGAAAGUGUAGUAGGCUGAAUAAUGCAUUUCCCCCAGGAUGUCCACAUCCUGCCUCUGGAAUUUGUGACCAUGUUGCUAACUUACACAUAAAAAGGACUUUGCAGGUGUCAUUAAGGAUUGUGAGAUGGGAGAUGAUUUUGGAUUAUCCGAGUAGGUCCAAUGUAAACGCAAGCAUCCUUAUGAGAGGGAGGCAGGAGUGUUAGGGUGAGAGAGAGAGAGAGAAAGAAGAGUGGAAGCAUAGGUUGGAGGGAUGUGCUUUGAGAAUGAAGGAAUGCAGGUCACCCUUGACGUUGGAAGAGACCAGGAAACAGACCCUCUUCUAGAGCCUCCAGAAGGAACCAGCCCUGCUGACACUUGAUUUUAACCCAGUGAAACUGAUUUUGGACUUCUGGCUUCUAGAAUAGGAUAAAUUUACAUUGUGUCCAGCCCCUAGUGGUGGUAAAUCGUUAAAGCAAUGAUUUGAGUUACAUAAAAAGCUGUUUAAUGUCCAACAGGGCUAAACGUCAUAAUCCUUGGAACUAAUUCUCUUACUAGAGUUAAAUUAUUUUCAUUUUUACUGGACUAGAAUAUACAUACAAGUUAACCUCUGCUCCUACAGAGAUGUAAAUUGCCUAGACAGUAGGAAAUCAAGUCCAGGACUACACUGAAAGAACACUCAGUAAACUUUUCUGCAUAUGCUCAAGUUUCUCUUUUGGACAGUCAGGAGGUGGAGGAACUAGAUUUGAACCAGGUUCUUCUAAGUGCGAAAUUCAUGCAUUUAAUUGGUAAGGGACACACCUUCUCACUAGCAUUAGUAGACUAGCACGGCAAUCUGAGACAAAAGAAAAUUGUGCAUAGGAACUGAGAACACAGGUCGAAGAUUGCCAGGGUGAGUGCACCAGUCCCUUCGUGGUGCUUCCCCUAAACAGAGGACCACAGAAAGAGCCUUGCCCCCUUCUUAACUCUGGCAGUGCACAUUCCUGCUCUAGCCCUCAGAAAACCAAUGUCAUGCUUUUCGUCGGUGGUUCAGAUAGGAUUAUUGUUGGUGUGACUUGAGAGAAAAGUGGUGGGGAGCUGAAAUACCUGCCUGCACUUCUCCCCACCUUGCUCAGGAGCAAAGGUGCCUGAAAGUCUCUUCUUUUAAAGUAUAUAACUUGGUUAAGCAUCAUAACACCUUAUCUGCUAAAUGCUCAUAAAGGUUUGAAUUGCACAUGGUUUGGGGAAGGGAGAGGUGAAGACUUUGGGACUGGAAAACAGCCAGCAGGAGCAUGAAUGGUGUCAAGAACCAGUAUGGCAUUCUUAAAGAGAUGGUGCGGUGAAGGUCCUGACUGUAGUCGGGAACUUUUGUAGGAAAGUGAGAUCUUCCCUGUAUGGUUGGACAGGUAAAAUGUGGCCAGUGUCUUGAUUGAGGCUAGGGAUGUAGGUUUAUCUUACAGGGCAAUCAUUCUUGACAUGGACUGAGCAAUAGAAUAAACUGGAGAGAAUUAAGAAAUACUAAGACACAGACCCUGUACUAAUUUACUAGAACUGCCAUAAGGCAGUACCACAGACUGAGUGGCUUAAACACCAGAAAUCUACUUUCUCACCAUUCUGGAGUGUCAAAGUUCAAGGUCAAAUUGUCUUGGAAACCCCAAGCAGGGUGGUUCUUUCUGAGGCCUCUCUCCUUGGCUCGCAGAUGGCUAUCUUCUCUCUGUGUCUUCACAGGCUCUUCCCUCUGUAAUUGUAACUCAAAUUUCCUCUUCUUAUAAGGACAUCAGAUUGGAUGAGGGUCCAUCCCAAAGACCUCAUUUUAACUUAAUCACCUCUAAAGAUCCUAUCCCCAAAUACAGUCACAUUCUGAGGUACUGGGUGGGGCGUUAGGGCUUCAACAUAUGAAUUUUGAGGGGAGGGGACACAAUUCAGCUCAUAACAGACCCUGUCUCUAGAUACUGAUUCAAGUGGUCAGGAAGGGGGCUGGGGCUUUGGUAUGGAACUCUCUAUUUCAGUGCAUGCCCAGGAAUGAGAACCACUGCUGUGGGGUCCAUAGUGUAGGUGACUAGGAGUGGAAGCUGGGCAUGAAGUGGGCAGAGUUAUAUGCUGGUGAAAACCUUGUGCCUGGCACCCCACUGCCCUCACCAGUGGGUGGCUUUGGGAAAAUCACUCGAAAAUGUUGAGAUUUGGGAGUUCAUCUCUAAAGGGAAGACAGCGCUUUGCCUGCUUCCAAGCAGGACCAGGAGCUUCCUUGAGGUUCCUUGCAGCUCUAAUAUUUUGAAGCAGUUGUAAAAAGCAGAUAUGGUGGUGGUGAGGGUUAGGGGAGAGAAGAGACACAGUUUUAAUGUGCUGUGACCACCACUACAGCCACCCCAUCCUGGCACCGUUAUCACCAGAGCAACCUUAUGAUGCCACCAUCAUCAUGAGCAUCAUCCCCGUGCCACUGCUGUCCUGUUGCCUGCUGCCAUCACCCCUCCUCCCCAGCUGGCAUCACCCCUGGCAGUUCUAACAGCAGCAGCUGGCUGCCCCACGGUGAUAGUGACACAGGCAGUCAUACACCAUUUUAGAACUGGAUCACGGAGGCCAAGUCACUCAUUUCAUGCUGGAGGAAACUGAAGUCCAGAGAGGUUAAUUGACACAUUCAUGGCCCUAGAGCUAUUCAACAGAAAACCCAAGUCCCAAAUCCUGUCCUUUGGCCUCACAUUGAAUCCUUCCCACGUGACCUCAUCACAGCCCAUCUGUGGGGAGGCUGGCCACCGAGACCCCCAUAUUUCUCUUGUGCUCCGUAUUUCUCCUCCCAAGGGGCUGAAAUAUUCUGGCUUAAGGGUGGGACAUGACUCUUCAUUGUUUUCAGUUAGGACUUGGUCAAUAAACAGUGACGUAAACCCGAACAAACACGGACUAAGCAAAAGAGAAACUUACUGGUUCAGGGAACUGAGAAGAACAAGUGCAGUCCUGGUUUCAGGCAUGGCGAGAUCCAGGGCUCACGUAAUGUCAUCAUGUGUCUCCUUCCCGCAUGGCUUCCACACUGUUGGCUCAGUCUCAGCCUCCAUCCUCCGAGUCCUGUCAGGCUUCUGGGACAGCAGGAAAAAUGCAAUCUGUUUCUCAACAGUUCAAGCAAAAGUCAUGGAAUUUGAUAAUUCAGAAAUAUUUGUAGAGGGUCCACUCUGCACCAGGCAUUCUUCUACAGGCUGAGGAUGCAAAGAGGAAGAUACAGAAGAGCUUCUGGUUGUCAUGGAAAUUUCACAUGAGAGCCUUUGUGGGUUCUGAUUGGACUGUGUUUGGACAUGUGCCAUCUGGGAACCAAUCACGUUGCCAGGAGUAUGUGAUGUCCUCAUUGGCUGGGGCUGGCUAUGUGUCCCUCUUAAGGAAUGCCAGCUUCCUUUUGAGUGUAGGGACUGCCACGGGUAUGUGUGUGGUGUGUCCCCAGGGCAUAAUCCAGGGACUUGCCCAUAAUGAGCAUGAGAGAAGUGAUGUCAAACAAGUGAAUGAACAACUGGGCAAAUUAGCAAAAGAGUGUAUGAUAGGAAGAUGUACAAAAACAUUAAAAGGGGACAGAUCCAAACAAAUCAUAAAAUGAUGUCAGUUACCAGUCAGAAAAAGUAUAUGAUAUUCACCGUAGAUUUGUUUGCUAAAUAUAUGCACUGUAUAUGCACUUGUUCCUGUCAGAACAAGAAAAUCCUGCUCAUUAUUUAGAGGGGCAUUAGAAACAAAAUGAAAGUUGUAGUUUCUUUCAGAGCUGUCCCGAGGGUUAACAAACCCAGGGGUCACUCUGCGCUUCCCACUUUGAGGAGCAUGUGAAAGAAGAAACGGAGACAGCUCACAGCUGGCAGCUAAAAUAUGUUGACAUCGUGAAGUAAAUGCCUGCCUUUUUCACCUUUCCACUUUCACUGUCUCAGCCGGCUAUGGGCACCUGGGAAACAUUCUCCCCACCGUCUGAUGUCCUUGGGCACAGCUGCUCAGUUCCUUUGAUAGAGGUUGCCCUUGAUGUUCAUUUUAUAAUGAUUUCAAUUGGUAAAAAAGAACAAGGCAAGAAAAAAAGUGUAGAAGAAAAAUUUAUACCUCUAAAACUUAGCAAGUAAAAGAGCCUUUCAUUGGUCCAAGAUCCUGCAAGUUUGGUUCCAUCUAUCUUGUACAAAACCUAAGUGGUCAGCACUUGCAGGAAUGGGCAUAAUUUUAGUCAUUCUACUGCUCAAGGAAGGACAUGUAGAGGACUCAUUGGGAGAGGCAAACUAAAUUAUUAAGAGGAACCUGUAUUUGAGCAAGAGCUCAAAAGAUAUGACUCAGUAUGGAAAGACUAAAUCUUUGAAGAAAUAAGCUAAUGCUGUGAAUUCAUGAUGGGCAUAGAAAGUAUGCCUGUAAGUAAACUUGUUUCCUAACUCCAAAAGACGCAGUUAAGAGGGGUGCUCAUAACAUUUCAAAAGACUGAAAGAAUUACAAAUAUUAAGUGUGAGUGGUUUCAAACAAUGGUCAUAAACACAUGGAUUCAUUAUUUUUGGAAGUGGCACUGUUUGAAAAGAUAAAGUCCUUCACCAGUUUGGAUAAGGUCAUGGAUGACAAACGAGUCUUCAGAAACUGGAAGAUGCUCUUAUUACGGCCCUACCCAUAAGGGACAAUCACAUCCACCCUCAAUGUUUCUGUCAAAGGCAGAGUGUUAGACAAGCAUCCAGAUGGAUCACAGGCAGGCCCAGGAGAGCUCUUAGCAAUGCUUUGGAAUAAACAAGGGGAUCUGCUGUAUGUUUUUUUUUUUUUUUUGACAUGGGGGGUUAUCACUAGAAUUACACCAUGAAGGAAUAAGCAAAUAAAAGAACAUGAUGAAUAAAGGGCUUUUUAUAACUUUUAAUUUUUAAAUAAUUAUAGACUCAUAGGAAGUUGUAAAAAUUACUCAGAGUCACACAUACCCUCCACUUCCCACGACCCCCAGUGGUUGCAUCUUAUAAAGCUCUAGGACAAUAUCAAAACCAGGAAAGUGACAUUGAUGCAUGAUCAUUAAGUAGACUACAGACCUUAUUUUGCUGUCACAUUUCUUUAAGCCUGCGUUCAUUGUGUGUGUUUGUGUCUAUGUAAGUUUAUUCCAUGUACAGAUUCAUACAACCACCAUCACAUCCAAGAUGCAGAGCUGCUCUGCCACAGCAGAACUCCCGCAUGCUGCCCCUCAUAUUCCCGCCUCCCCGUCCUCCCGUCUCCCCUGGCAAUCACUGAUCUGUUCUCCAUUUCUACGGUUUUGUCAUUUUGACAAUGUUCUAGAAGUAGAAUCAUACCUCAAAAGGUAUGUCAUCUUUCACGCUGACUUGGGCCUUUAGCUUGAUUGCCCUUGAAGGCCAUCCAGACUGUUGCCUGUACCAAUAGUUUGUCUUUGCUGUUGAGCAGUAUUCUAUCAUAUGCACACAUGGGAGUUUGCUCUACUGCUCAUCUAUUAAAGGACACUUGGGUUGUUUUCAGUAUUUUGCUAUUUUGAAUAAAGCUACUAUGAAUAUUUAUGUACAUGUUUUUGUAUGAACAGAAGUUUUCAUUUCUCUGGGAUAAAUGCCCAGGAGUGUGAUUGCUGGGUUAUAUGGUAAGUGUGUGUUUAGUUUCAGAAAAACCUACCAAACUAUUUCCCACAGUGGCUGUACCAUUUUACAUCACCACCAACAGUAUAUGAGAGAUUCCAUUUCUCUGUAUCCUCAUCAGCAUUUGAUACUGUCAUUGUUUUUCAUUCUAGCUAUUCUAAUAGGUGUGUAGGGGUGCAGCGCUGUGCUUUUGAUUUGCAUUUUCCUAGUGCCUGAUGAUGUUCAACAACUUUUCUUAUGUUUGUUUGCCAUCUAUAUCUCCUCUUUUGUGAAAUAUCUUUUCAUGUCUUUUGGCCAUUUUCUAAUUGGAUUGUAUGUUUGUUUUUUGAGUUUUGAGAGGCCUUUGUCAGAUAGGUAAUUUGCAGAUACUUUCUCCUAUUCUGCAGCUUGUCUUUCAUUCUCUAAACAGUCUUUCACCUCCAAACAAGUAGAGGUUUUAAAUUCCCUUUAAGAAAAGCCUCACCUCUACUUGAGGGCACUGGCCGUGGCCACUCCAUUGGUGACUGCCCCUGAGGGCAGAUCACGGGUCUCCUUCCCGUUGGGGGGUGCUCAUUCAGCCUUAUCACAGCUCACUCCUGCAAUGGCUGAGCUCUAUUAUCAGUACCUAGUCAGUGUUUCUUCGGACAUCACAAAAAGAUGAGCUGAGAAGAGUGGUCUACUAUCGAGAGAACAGCUUGAAGGGCCAGACCUCCCUGAUCCAGAAAGUGAGUCUACAGGCAUCAUCUCCUUAGAAAACUGGAAAAUACUCCAUUAUCAGUACAGAGUAAAAGCCAGCCUUCCAAAUGCCAGGAGGCCUCUCAGACCAUUUCACCAAAACAUAAAGUAACAGACUUGAGUUCACUGGAUACAUUGAACCAACAGCGAGCCAAAACACACAUGGAAUGCAGACCCAGGAAUAAUCUCAAGUCUGAGUCAUCCAAUGUGCUUGUCUACAUUGAUUGCAUUCACCAGAUAAAAGUCAAAUCUACUCCACAAGGCAAACGCAGCCUCCGCUCAUGUUAAGGGUUGCUGUCAUGGAGACAACAAGAGGAGAUUUUCUGACACGCUGUUGGCAUGAAAGGUAUGGAUUACUCUCCAUCUUAUGUAAAUUCCCACUGAGGGAUAAAAGAUUAAAAGGAAAAUAAUCAUGUUUUCUUCAUUUUCAUUUAGGGUAAUAAAAUCCUUUAAUUCCUUCUUGGAAAAAGAGGCCACAGCUGUCCUGUCAUAAAUGUUCUGUGAGAAGUGACAUUUGAAGCCGCAGCAGCCAUCUUGCUGCUGUGAGGGGAAAGAGGAGGCCAGGAGAAUCCCAGGGAAGGUGAAGCAGAUCCCUGCCACCCCUGAGCGGCUGCACCAACUUGGGAGCUUCUCCUCCAGCCUUUCUGAGAAGUGAGAUAGAGUGAUAAUCCCUUGUUGCCUAAGUCACGUUUUGGGAGAUAUUCUGUUACUUUCUACGUGAUUUCACGUAUCAUGUUUACAUGGCCUUUGUGUUUUUCUCUGUUCUGCAAGUUAUAGGGAGUAUAGUAAGUUGUAGUGAGAGAUGAUCUUAUACCCAACUUUGUAUCCUUGGUGGUUAGCAUAGAGUAUGCACUCAGUAAAUGUUCACUCAAGUAUUUAUUUUUCCAUAAUUUUUCCACCAAGAGCUAUAACAAAUAGUAUGUGCCAGAUAAUAUCUGUCCCAUUUAGAAGAUAGCCCCGGAAUGUUGGGGAGUGGGAAAUAGGUCAGUGAAUCUUACAUGGGUAACUCCAUGGGGAAUUUACGGGAAUGAAGGAUCUGACACAAAUGCUAUGUCAUUUCAGUGGAAUUGACAAGUGUUAUUCAGAUAGUUUAUUCAGGCCUUAUGAAAGCUUACAACAAAGCCCAGCAUGUAUGUCAAAAUGUGGUGCAUUGGUUGAGGAAAGGAAGGGGUGGUGGAUGCUUACAGUGUGCCAGGCCUCUCUCAUCUCCUGUUGUGGUCCCUGGCCCUGUCACCUGGCUCAGUGGGACAGAAGUGAUAGCUGCUUCCAUAAUCUUGAAGUCAUCAAAUCUCUUAGACUUCUUUUGGUCCUUAGCUGCUGCCCAAACUCUGUUAUUAAAAGUUGGAGGUUGUCCUAGCUUCUUGGAGGCUUGUGAGAUUCCAUUUUUAUUGAAAUGUUUCAAGCAUUACACCAGCUUUGCUAAAAAUGGUGCAGCAAAUCAAAAAGGCACAGUUACUUUGGAGAAUCCAUCUGGCAGCCCCAGUCCUCUAAGCACAUACAUUUAAUUUUAUGGUUUGUUACACAAAUCAAUAGAAUUUGUUGUAUCAGAGGGAGCCCAUGUAUUUAUUCUGGAAGCCCCUGUAAACUAAGAGCAGGUAUUCUUAUAUGGGCUUUGGUCUGGUUUUUCUUAUUAAUAAGGGAGGAAAAUCACUUUAGAUUUCCAUAUUGACUCACAGAGGAGUGAGUCCCCUUUUCACAUUUGCACAUCCACGCAAACUUAAUCCUAAUCUCCUCGGGUCUCAGUAACUGAAAUUUAGAUGGUAAAGUCAGAUCUCCACGUGACGGAGAGCCUCAGAGUCUGGGACCUCAGCAGCUAGAGAAGUGACCCAGGUGAUGGUGCUGUUAUGGUGGACGUUUAUGUGGGGGUGGGGAGGAGAAUGCUGUGGCGAUAACAUUGUGCCCAGACCUGUGUUAAUGAACCCCUCGAAGAUGAGGCCUAAUGUCUGAGUGUGUGUGUGUUUUAAGGAGAGGGGGUUAGAUUACAUUCUCAUUUUUUUAUGACCACCAGUUCGCUUCCCUUUAGUUUCAGAGAAGUAAAUUUAAGUCUCUCAGCCCGGAUGAAUUUGGAACCCACAGCUAACAAGCUACUCUAUAUCCUGAAACUCUUGGCCGAAUUUCCCCUCACCUCUAUGGCUUGCCUGAAUCCUGUCCUUUUUCCAAGGAAACAGCGUUCUUGAAGCCCCCUCAAUGCCAGUCUCUUCUUUCUCCCUUACCCUGUGCAAGCCAGGACAGAAAGAUCCUUUUGUUUCCUUUUUAAUCAACAAUAGAACUUUGUGAACUUUACACUGCUCCCUUCAUUCAAUAGCACCCAUGCCAUCCCUCACCCACCCACCCAUUCACCCAAAAGAUAUUGGUUUAGCACUUUCUGUCUGCCAGGAAUUGCUCUAGGAGCUGAGGAUACAGUGGUGAAUGAGCAAGGCAUGUCCCUGUUGUCACAGUGUUUGCAUUUUAGCCUGGAGGACAAUAAAAAUAAACUCUAAAUAUAAUAUCAGAUAGUGAAAGGGCUCUGAAGAGAAAUGGUGGCAGCCAUGAGAACGGGCCUCUCCAGCCUCAUCCUGUAGGGUGUGUGAUGAUGGCGAGUGCUCCAGAAGCUGUUUUCUGAAACCCAUCACAGAGUCCGACUGGGACCGUGCUUGUCAGGGCUGCUCCCCACCGGUAACUAAGCCUGUCAGGGCCACUAAGAUCAUCACAAGCCUUGAUGGUGGGAAACUCUAGCUUGCAUACUCUCUAAAGGGCCUGCCCACAUUUUCUUGGAAGUGCACUGUAGCCUAAGACUUCUCACCCCCCUCCUCCCCUGCCCCUUCACACAGGAGUAGACCUUCACUGCACCUGAUGGCCCUCCAAGCCCAGGCC